rnacentral:rRNA from 1 species
GACAGAGGGUGCAAACGUUUGUUCGGAAUUACUGGGCGUAAAGCGCAUGUAGGCGGUCAGACAGGUCGGAUGUGAAAUCCCUCGGCUCAACCAAGGAAGUGCAUCCGAAACUGCUGAGCUUGAGUACGAAAGAGGAUCGCGGAAUUCCCGGUGUAGAGGUGAAAUUCGUAGAUAUCGAGAGGAACACCGGUGGCGAAGGCGGCGAUCUGGGACGAUGACUGACGUGAGACGCGAAAGCGUGGGGAGCAAACAGG